UGCCUAAUACAUGCAAGUCGAGCGAACUGAUUAGAAGCUUGCUUCUAUGACGUUAGCGGCGGACGGGUGAGUAACACGUGGGCAACCUGCCUGUAAGACUGGGAUAACUUCGGGAAACCGAAGCUAAUACCGGAUAGGAUCUUCUCCUUCAUGGGAGAUGAUUGAAAGAUGGUUUCGGCUAUCACUUACAGAUGGGCCCGCGGUGCAUUAGCUAGUUGGUGAGGUAACGGCUCACCAAGGCAACGAUGCAUAGCCGACCUGAGAGGGUGAUCGGCCACACUGGGACUGAGACACGGCCCAGACUCCUACGGGAGGCAGCAGUAGGGAAUCUUCCGCAAUGGACGAAAGUCUGACGGAGCAACGCCGCGUGAGUGAUGAAGGCUUUCGGGUCGUAAAACUCUGUUGUUAGGGAAGAACAAGUACGAGAGUAACUGCUCGUACCUUGACGGUACCUAACCAGAAAGCCACGGC
rnacentral:rRNA from 1 species